GUGAAUCAUCAAAUUUUUGAACGCAAAUUGCACUCUUUGGUAUUCCGAAGAGUAUGCUUGCUUGAGGGUUGUUCUAAACAAUAUCGUUUUUUAUAUUAAAGAAAACGGAUCUGAGUUUUCUAAAGUUUUUAACUUUGGUGACUUUAAAUUUAUCUUAACGAUAUUUUUGGUAUAAUAUUGGAAAUGUUUUAUCUUACAUCUCGUGUAAGUUUCAUUAACGAUGAUUACUAAAUCGUUAUAGCGUGUUAUUUACCUAAUUUUUUUUAUAAUUGGGUUAUAUAAUACAAUUUCUUUUUUCAAA
rnacentral:misc_RNA from 1 species